rnacentral:rRNA from 1 species
UCGAGCGAGUCUGCCUUGAGAUCGGAGUGCUUGCACUCUGUGAAACAAGAUACAGGCUAGCGGCGGACGGGUGAGUAACACGUGGGUAACCUGCCCAAGAGAUCGGGAUAGCACCUGGAAACAGAUGCUAAUACCGGAUAAUAACAGAUGAUGCCUAUCAACUGUUUAAAAGAUGGUUCUGCUAUCACUCUUGGAUGGACCUGCGGUGCAUUAGCUAGUUGGUAGGGUAACGGCCUACCAAGGCGAUGAUGCAUAGCCGAGUUGAGAGACUGAUCGGCCACAUUGGGACUGAGACACGGCCCAAACUCCUACGGGAGGCAGCAGUAGGGAAUCUUCCACAAUGGACGCAAGUCUGAUGGAGCAACGCCGCGUGAGUGAAGAAGGGUUUCGGCUCGUAAAGCUCUGUUGUUGGUGAAGAAGGACAGGGGUAGUAACUGACCUUUGUUUGACGGUAAUCAAUUAGAAAGUCACGGCUAACUACGUGCCAGCAGCCGCGGUAAUACGUAGGUGGCAAGCGUUGUCCGGAUUUAUUGGGCGUAAAGCGAGUGCAGGCGGUUCGAUAAGUCUGAUGUGAAAGCCUUCGGCUCAACCGGAGAAUUGCAUCAGAAACUGUCGAGCUUGAGUACAGAAGAGGAGAGUGGAACUCCAUGUGUAGCGGCGAAAUGCGUAGAUAUAUGGAAGAACACCGGUGGCGAAGGCGGCUCUCUGGUCUGUUACUGACG